rnacentral:lncRNA from 1 species
GGUAGAUAAGUUUUUUGGAUAGACCAUCAAUUCAAAAAAAUAUAGAAGAGUGGAAAUAAUAGCAAAAUAAUAUACAAUCAUUGAGUCCUAAAAAUAAAAAUCAAUACUAAAACAGAUAACUGCAUAAACCUAUAGUUGACUUAACUUACAUUACCAAAUAUAACCAACCUUUUAAGAUGCUAUCAAAAAAGGUCCAAUGUCUAUAAAAUCAAAAGUUACUUUUCUUCCCUAGCCCAUAUAUUUCUCUCUCGCGCGCACAUCUCCAAUUCUCAUGUUCAUCUUCUUUCCUCCUCUUUCUCUCUAUCCUCCUUCUUCUCUUCUUUUAUCAACUUUAUAGAAGUUACAUGACCAUUCUCUUCAAUUAUUCAAUUUUCUCCUUCAAUUUUAUGUUGUUUUUUGAUAAAAUGAAUAAUUUCAUGGAAAAUCUUGCUACUUCUUUUCUUAAAGAUCUAGAUGAAUUAUUCCAUGACAUCUCUCGUUGCUUCUUUCCUACUAGAUCUGAACGAAUUGUCCGAUGAUGAAGGGAGAAUCAACAAUCAUGGAUGGAAGAAUAGAGAGGAUCUAGAUUGGAUUUUGUAGAUCUAAGAUCUCUGAUAUAGAUUUGGGUUCUAGAUUGAAAGAUUGUGAUGGAUUUAUGAAAAAGUAAUUCUUUCUUUUUCUGUUACGAUGAUUUUGAUAUAGAAAUGGAGAUUUAAUAAUAGAUAGAACGUGUUUUUUAGUGUAAAUGUGUAUAGUUCAUGUUUAUACUCACUUAUACAAUGUAGAUAUAUUUUUAAACAUUAUAUAUACAUAUGUACAACUUUGGAUAAUUAUGUAUAUUAUUAUAUAAUCAUAUAUAUACAACAUCAUACAACACUAUACAAUAAUAUACAAAUUUAGAAAAAGUGUAUAAAUAUAUAUACCGGAUAUGUAAACAUUAUUUUUACAAUAAGAUGGGCUGAAGUCUCUAUUGUUUGGGACUAAAGCCAAAAGAAAGAGGAUAAGAAUCAAAGAAAAGAAAGCGUGCAACGAUAUAUGGCUAAAGAAUUGUGUAAUGUAAGUUUUUGGGUCAUUAUUUUUGAAAUGCAAGUUUGCUAUGUAUAUAUUUCUGAAAUUAUCCCAUACGAAAAUCUAAGAAUAUGAAAAUAGCAUAAUAAUACUAAUACUUGGGGAAUGGGACCGCAAUACGCCAGAUAAUCGACUAACCUGGGGCACUUUUCAAAAAGUUCACAUCUAGGACUAUUUUAGAUAUUUAGACACUAGUUUUCAAAAAUAGAGAAAAUGAAAACCCUAAUGGGUCCACAAAAAUAAUGGCAACCUAGCACUCAAGUAAAAAAAUAUAUACUUUAGUCUCUUUCCCAUUUCAGCCUCUAUUUUUUAAAAACUACACUUUAG